UACAGAGGGGGCAAGCGUUGUUCGGAAUUACUGGGCGUAAAGGGCGCGUAGGCGGCCUUCUAAGUCGAACGUGAAAUCCCCGGGCUCAACCCGGGAACUGCGUCCGAUACUGGAAGGCUUGAAUCCGGGAGAGGGAUGUGGAAUUCCAGGUGUAGCGGUGAAAUGCGUAGAUAUCUGGAGGAACAUCGGUGGCGAAGGCGACAUCCUGGACCGGUAUUGACGCUGAGGCGCGAAAGCCAGGGGAGCAAACGGG
rnacentral:rRNA from 1 species